GGAGGAUGGUCACGGGGACAGGCCGCAGUGAUAUAAUGCAGGGUGCUGUCAACGGUUCGAAUCCGUUAUUCUCCA
rnacentral:tRNA from 1 species